GAUGAACGCUGGCGGCGUGCCUAAUACAUGCCAGUCGAGCGAACGGACGAGAAGCCUGCUUCUCUGAUGUUAGCGGCGGACGGGUGAGUAACACGUGGAUAACCUACCUAUAAGACUGGGAUAACUUCGGGAAACCGGAGCUAAUACCGGAUGAUAUUUUGAACCGCAUGGUUCAAAAGUGAAAGACGGUCUUGCUGUCACUUAUAGAUGUAUCCGCGCUGCAUUAGCUAGUUGGUAAGGUAACGGCUUACCAAGGCAACGAUGCAUAGCCGACCUGAGAGGGUGAUCGGCCACACUGGAACUGAGACACGGUCCAGACUCCUACGGGAGGCAGCAGUAGGGAAGCUUCCGCAAUGGGCGAAAGCCUGACGGAGCAACGCCGCGUGAGUGAUGAAGGUCUUCGGAUCGUAAAACUCUGUUAUUAGGGAAGAACAUAUGUGUAAGUAACUGUGCACAUCUUGACGGUACCUAAUCAGAAAGCCACGGCUAACUACGUG
rnacentral:rRNA from 1 species